GACGAACCGUGCGAACGUUAUUCGGAAUCAUUGGGCUUAAAGGGCGCGUAGGCGGCGGCGUAAGUUGGAAGUGAAAUCCCAUCGGCUCAACCGUGGAAUCGCUCCCAGUACUGCGUCGCUCGAGGGGGAUAGGGGUCUGCGGAACUACCGGUGGAGCGGUGAAAUGUGUUGAUAUCGGUGGGAACGCCAGUGGCGAAAGCGGCAGACUGGACCCUUCCUGACGCUGAGUGCGCGAAAGCUAGGGGAGCGAACGGG
rnacentral:rRNA from 1 species